CUUCAUCCUCAGUGUUCUGCAGCCAGAUAAGGAGGUUGGAGUUGGAUCCCAGAUCACCUACUGAAAGCUAUAGCUGUAGUCACACGGGUUAGUCUGCAGUCUGGAGAGCAGCCUGGCUUCUGCUUGUGAGUCUGGUGGAAGCUCUGGAGAGAAGUCCGUACUGAGGUCCUGUCCGUGCCUUCACAUAUGAACAUGAAUUUAAAUCUGCCUCUAUGUCCUCAACUGGUUUCAACAGCACUCUGAGUUGAGGCUGGACAAUUCAAGCUGUCUCCUUCUGUCCUUAGUGUGAUUCCGUGUCACUGUGUGCUGCAGAAGGGCCAUGGGAACUGGACAGAUGUCUUGAGGAGUUCUGGUUGCCUGUAGGUUACCUCUCCUUCUACCUUCAGUCUGUACCUCUGCUCAAAUGCUGAGAUCGCAUGGAAACACUCACCGUCAGGAAGUAGAUCUCAGCGCUCUGUGGAAAGAGACAUUCCUUGGGGAGACCUCUGACAGAACUAGUGGAGCAUGCUGUAACUGUAGCCCUUCAGACGUGGAGGAGGAAACACCAGGGGAUGUCACGAUGACUUUGCUCAGUCACAAGAGAUUCUUUGUAAUCAACGUGUUAAUUGUGUACUUCAGAAGGUGUCAGGCACUCUGCUUCAAGACAAAGCUGAACACGAUUUCUAAGCCAGGUAUCUUUCUAAACCCCAUAUUCCCUCCACUCCUCUAAUGCUAGGGCGCUGGAUGUCAGAGCAACUUGCCUUCUAUAAAAUCACAGACGUGAAAUUCUGCUUGACUGCUCUUGCCUGGGUUAGUAAGUUAGUAAGAAUGGAACUGUUUCACAUUGCUAGGUGCUAAGAAGCAGAAGUUUGGGUCCAAUGUUUGAAAAGAGAAACCUGAAUAUACAUUUCUGCUCAUAGUGUGCUUUCUGACUUGCACUCAGCAAACUUGGUUUAUGGGAGAUUUUUAUUUGCAAGACAGUUUGUUUUAAUGGAAACUCCCAGAAACUCUUCCGCUGGGAGGAUGCUUGCUGUUCUAAAAGUCAUGCAAGAUUUUUCUAUCUAAUCCAUUUGCGAUCUUGUUUGAUUCUUCUUCUUUUCUUUAUAAAACUGAAUAAUUGUUCGUACAUGACAUGAGAUCAUCACAAGGUCAUCUCAGUGAUCAAAUUAGCACCAUGAAUAAAAAUGUAAAUUCUAGUUGGAGUGGAAAGUCAAAG
ensembl:lncRNA